rnacentral:rRNA from 1 species
UACGUAGGGUGCGAGCGUUGUUCGGAAUUACUGGGCGUAAAGCGCACGUAGGCGGAUCGAUCAGUCAGGGGUGAAAUCCCAGGGCUCAACCCUGGAACUGCCUUUGAUACUGUCGAUCUGGAGUAUGGAAGAGGUGAGUGGAAUUCCGAGUGUAGAGGUGAAAUUCGUAGAUAUUCGGAGGAACACCAGUGGCGAAGGCGGCUCACUGGUCCAUUACUGACGCUGAGGUGCGAAAGCGUGGGGAGCAAACAGG